rnacentral:misc_RNA from 1 species
AACUUUUUGCAACGUAUCUCUUGGUUCCGGCAUCGAUUAAGAACGCAGCGAAAUGCGAUAAGUAAUGUGAAUUGCAGAAUUCCGUGAAUCAUCGAAUCUUUGAACGCACAUUGCGCCCCCUGGCAACCCGGGGGGCAUGCCUGUCCGAGCGUCAUUGCAGACCUCAAGCGCGGCUUGUGUGAUGGGGGUCCGCCGCCCCGCCUUCGGGCGCGGCGCCCCCGAAACGCAGCGGCGACGCCGCGAUCUCUCCGCGGCCCGAGUGAAUGGAACCACCACCGCUCGAGGCCCGGCCGGCGCUCGCCCCCGACGAUAACGUCACCUAAUUUCUACGGUUGACCUCGGAUCAGGUAGGGAUACCCGCUGAACUUAAGCAUAUCAAUAAGCGGAGGCU